rnacentral:rRNA from 1 species
AACGAACGCUGGCGGCAUGCCUAACACAUGCAAGUCGAACGAGACCUUCGUGUCUAGUGGCUCACGGGUUCGUAACGCGUGGUAACCUUCCCUUAUGUUCGGAAUAACUCCCCGUAAGGUGUGCUAAUACCGGUUAAUGUCUUCUGACCUAAGAUUUAUCGCCUUUGGAUGGUCCCGCGUUGGAUUAGCUUGUUGGUAGGGUAAAAGCAUACCAAGGCGACGAUCCAUAGAUGGUCUGAGAGGAUGAUCAGACACACUGGGACUGAGACACGGCACAGACGAGGACGGGAGGGAGGAGAGGGGAAUAAUGGAAAAUGGGCGAAAGCAUGAAGAAGCAAUGCGGGGAGAGUGAUGAAGGCGGGAGGGAAGUAAAGGAAAAUAAGAGGGGAAGAUAAUGACAGUAACGGGAGAAGAAGCACCGGCUAACUACGUG